rnacentral:rRNA from 1 species
CAGCAGCCGCGGUAAUACAGAGGGUGCGAGCGUUAAUCGGAUUUACUGGGCGUAAAGCGUGCGUAGGCGGCUUCUUAAGUCGGAUGUGAAAUCCCUGAGCUUAACUUAGGAAUUGCAUUCGAUACUGGGAAGCUAGAGUAUGGGAGAGGAUGGUAGAAUUCCAGGUGUAGCGGUGAAAUGCGUAGAGAUCUGGAGGAAUACCGAUGGCGAAGGCAGCCAUCUGGCCUAAUACUGACGCUGAGGUACGAAAGCAUGGGGAGCAAACAGGAUUAGAGACCCCCGUAGUCCCUGUCUCUUAUAA